UAAUAAAUAGGAACAAAAACUUUCUGGUAAUAAAUAUAAUUUUAUUAUAAAAGUUCAAAUUGCACUUACCACGUCCUAACGGCCGAGUGACGUACGCGUACAUUCGGGACGUUGGGUUCGUUGAGCAUAUCUAAGACUUCAGAUUUUGUCUGAGUCUCGAUUUUCUGCUGCAUUUUGCAUCAGAGGCACCUAUCGCAUAGAUCGGGUUUUUUUGGGGGGGCGAGAUUAGAAGAUUGUGUGUAUGUGAUGUGUGCAUGGGGUCCAACCCCUGGCCACCAGUCCAGAGCUGUAAGAAAGCUCAACUGGUAGUAGCUUCGGCUACGAGGUCUGACCAGAGACUUAAUUCUGGUACCACGGGGAGCAGGAGCCCUUGGAAUUUACUCCAACCUGCUCAUGCGAACUGGCCCCUCGGGGAGUAUCGUGGUGGUUGAGGUUAAAAUCCAAAUGCGGGAAGAACUGACUUUGUCAGUUGAAUGUGGAUUCAACCGGGUGCCGAACCCAAAGCACGGCCGCUGUACUUUUUAGCGCCGUGGGGUAAGACUAUCGUCAGCAGGUACCCACGUUAAACCCACAAGUGACGUUGUUACCACGUCUGGAUCGGGUGAGAUGUCGCAAAAGAAAAAAGAGCGCAAAUUUUAACCAAUCAAUAUUUGGUUGUGUUCGAAUUAAAACUUCGAAAGAACUUCGAAGAAGCGAUAGCUCUGCCGACACAGACGUGACAAAAGAAAUUGGGCAGAGGCAGCGUCAACAUCAUGUUAAGUUGAAUGGAUUUAAGUGAGCAGGAGGGCUUAUACGCAGCACAUAAGUUUUGGCCGCAACAUUUUUGUCAUCGUAAUAUGAAUCAGAACUUAUUCCUAUUUUAUUAAUUAUUCAACUUUUUGAGACCAAUAACUAAUUUAAAAGGUAAAUUUUAGAACAGCAUACCCCGAUAUCGCGCUCUAGACAGGGCAUUGCGGGCUCAGGAAACACUUGUCAAACAUGAGCAUAGUCUCUUGUACGAACUGCCGGUUCUGCGACAUAGAACAGGAAACCCCACACACCUGAUUCUGGAUUGUACAGCAAUUUGUAGAAGCAGGCUUAAGGCCUAGGUUCCAUUUAAGUGGAUAGGGAUCACAUAACUCUAGUAGCGCACAGCAGGCUCCUGGAAUUCUUCCGGAUGCUGGAUCUAGGUAACCAUAUGUGAUUGUGAUGAGGGCACAAUAGACCCUUGGUCGCGGUGCAAUACCUCGUUAUUAACUAUCUAUCCAUAUAUAUUUUUGAGAUAUUUGAAUUUAAAGCUCAAAAAUCAAUACAAUGCGUGUUUCUCCGAUUAAUAUUAAUUUUUACGCUUAUAUUUUUAACUUUUAUAUCCACUAACACUUCACACUAAUACGUUUCUACCCAUUUAUUUUAUAUUAAAUAGGGCAAAAAUAACUUUAAUAAAAUAGCAGGGGAUGCUAUUCUAAAUCCCAGACAAAUUAAAUAGUCUUGAUGUUCUUUUAAAAAUUUUCAGCUGUUAUUAGUCUUUUCCUCGUUACUCUAGCCCAAUUUCCACGCAAGUCUCGUAUAGGCAUGUUGGAGUCAAUUGGUGGCUUCAUUAACUUUUGGGCUUUCCAAAGAGAAUUUCGCUCGCCAUUAACCGAAAACAUAUAAAGUACCAUAACUAAGCACUAAAUUAAGAUAUAAAACUGUAUUUUGGUACAGAGGAUCGCAGCAGCAAGGUGCACCUGUGUGACCUCAAGUUUAAUGUCCAUAUCUCCUAAACCGCUUAAGCUACAACAACCAAAUUUGCUGAGUACAAAUCUUAUAAGAACUUCUACAGACAGUGUGAAAAUGGAAAUGAAAUCGGAGGAUAACCCCGCCCACUCCCCAUAUAACGGUACUGUUAAAAAGUACUACAAGCGCGAUAAAUCAAUAAAUAAAUACGCCAGAGACAUUAAAUUUUACCACCGAGAUGGUACGGGAGAGCUUUAUGAGAGCAGUUGUGAAAAUUGGACGAUGGGUGAGGCACUGACCACUUUUUGGUGAAAUCCAAUAUCUUGGGUCCAGACCAACCGAUUUCGACUAAAUUUGGUUAUGACAUACUGUGAUCAAAUUGAAACUUUUAAUUUAUAUUUCCAGUGUUUUUCGAAUCGGUAAUUUUUUUUCUUAUUUGAGAUACGCGUCGUUUUGUGAGGCUCUAAAAGUGAAUUCUUUGAUUUUUACUAUGUCUGAAUUUAUUGAACAAAGAAA